rnacentral:rRNA from 1 species
CAAUAGCGUAUAUUAAAGUUGUUGCAGUUAAAAAGCUCGUAGUUGGAUUUCUGAUCGAGACAUCAGGUCGGGUCCGAGAGGAUCAUGUACUUUGAUUUUGUUUUGAUCAUCCUUGGGGAGAGCAUUUCUGGCAUUCAGUUGUCGGGAUUGGGAUCCUCAUCGUUUACUGUGAAAAAAUUAGAGUGUUCAAAGCAGGCCUCGGCCUCUGAAUACAUUAGCAUGGAAUAAUAAGAUAGGACUUUGGUGGUCUAUUUUGUUGGUUUGCACGCCAAAGUAAUGAUUAAUAGGGAUAGUUGGGGGUAUUCGUAUUCAAUUGUCAGAGGUGAAAUCCUUGGAUUUAUGGAAGACGAACUACUGCGAAAGCAUUUACCAAGGAUGUUUUCAUUAA